rnacentral:rRNA from 1 species
UACGUAGGGGGCGAGCGUUGUCCGGAUUUAUUGGGCGUAAAGAGCGUGUAGGCGGUUCGGUAAGUCUGUCGUGAAAUCCUGAGGCUCAACCUCGGGCGUGCGAUGGAUACUGCCGGGCUAGAGGGUGGUAGAGGCGAGUGGAAUUCCCGGUGUAGCGGUGAAAUGCGUAGAGAUCCGGAGGAAUACCAGUGGCGCAGGCGGCGCUCUGGGUCACACCUGACACUGAGAUACGAAGGCAUGGGGAGCGAACGGG